rnacentral:lncRNA from 1 species
CGCGUCCCUGCGCACCAAUCGUGGGCGCGCUCGGACGCCCCUCCCCCGGGAUCCCUCCUGGGCCCACCCCCCACCUGCGAGCACUUGGGGAUCUAAAAGCUACAGGUGGGGACACCUCUGACCCCGCCCUGGGAGGCGGAAAAAGCCUUCAACCUGGCCUUGAGCAGGGCUGCUGGGACUUGAGUGGAGCUCUCAAAACCCCCAGCUCUUUUGAAAGAGCCGAGGACUGGGACGGAAAGGACGCAGGGGACUGAGUUCUAACCCCGGAACAGAUGAUCAUCUUUCUGAACCCGUUUCCCUUCUCUGUAAAAUGGGAAUGAUUCCCUCCUGACAAGAAUGAAAGGAGACCCAAACCGCGCUUUUUGCGUUUCACACACAAACGGAAUUCCGAACAGGCCACUGUUUCAAAGCUUGUGUAGAGAAUUUUACCCUGCUCCAUUGAAGAUGUCUUCCUCCAGAGAGCCUGAUCCAGUCCCACCGUUUCGCACCAAGGAUGGAAAUGGCUUUGAGACAUGAGAACUGGAGACCACUAAGGCCUUUCUUGGUACUGGCUCAUAUUACCAAGACCCCUUUUCCUGGGAUAUUCCCUGUCCCUCUGCUAAGCCAUUACACAUCCAUUACACCAGGGAGGUUCACUGAGUUACUUGUGGCUCAGCCUAAAUGCGGACAAUUGGGAACUAAUAGCAGAGCAAGACCUAAACAGAGCAAGACUGUGAAUCUGAGCUUGCAGCGUCAAUCUGUGGUAUAGGGACAUUAAAAACAACACAAAAACAAAACAACUACUCCACUGAGCACCAAUACUUCACUUUUCCUCUGAUAGGACUUUCCUGGUCUCACUGAUCCAACAGAGCAGCAGAUGGACAAACAGAUGGACUCUACAGCUAAGUGGAAUAUCAAAGGUAGAGGGGUGAUUCUGUGAGACUGAUAGGCCUGACUAUUCUCAAUUCUCCCCACUGCAGUGUU